GGCGAACGGGUGAGUAACACGUAAGGAAUCUACCUAUAAGCGGGGGAUAACAUUCGGAAACGGGUGCUAAUACCGCAUAAUAUCUUCUUCCGCAUGGAAGAAGAUUGAAAGACGGCUCUGCUGUCACUUAUAGAUGACCUUGCGGUGCAUUAGUUAGUUGGGGGGGUAACGGCCUACCAAGACGAUGAUGCAUAGCCGACCUGAGAGGGUGAUCGGCCACAUUGGGACUGAGACACGGCCCAAACUCCUACGGGAGGCAGCAGUAGGGAAUCUUCCGCAAUGGGCGAAAGCCUGACGGAGCAAUGCCGCGUGAGUGAAGAAGGCCUUCGGGUCGUAAAACUCUGUUAUAAGAAAAGAACAAAUUGUAGAGUAACUGCUACAGUCUUGACGGUAUCUUAUCAGAAAGCCACGGCUAACUACGUGCCAGCAGCCGCGGUAAUACGUAGGUGGCAAGCGUUGUCCGGAUUUAUUGGGCGUAAAGGGAGCGCAGGUGGUUUCUUAAGUCUGAUGUGAAAGCCCACGGCUUAACCGUGGAGGGUCAUUGGAAACUGGGAAACUUGAGUACAGAAGAGGAAUGUGGAACUCCAUGUGUAGCGGUGGAAUGCGUAGAUAUAUGGAAGAACACCAGUGGCGAAGGCGACAUUCUGGUCUGUUACUGACACUGAGGCUCGAAAGCGUGGGGAGCAAACAGGAUUAGAUACCCUGGUAGUCCACGCCGUAAACGAUGAGUGCUAGGUGUUGGAGGGUUUCCGCCCUUCAGUGCCGCAGUUAACGCAUUAAGCACUCCGCCUGGGGGAGUACGACCGCAAGGUUGAAACUCAAAGGAUUGACGGGGGACCCGCACAAGCGGUGGAGCAUGUGGUUUAAUUCGAAGCAACGCGAAGAACCUUACCAAGUCUUGA
rnacentral:rRNA from 1 species